AGGGUUUCCACAGUACUUGGCUUAAUUGUAUCCAGAAUAAAUCACAGUUAAUCUGAAUGCAGAGUUAGCUAGGGCCCUGCGGACAGCUCACUUUGUCCUUAGGCCACCUUUGUAAUGUCUUGGCUGAGUUCAGCUGGUUGCAAAAUCAACAAGGGCGCAGGCCUGGUUUUCUUUGCUGCACUCUCCCCCAUGUUUGGAACCAUGCCUGGCAGAUAAUCAGGGCUCAAUAAUCCUCGUCGACUGAAGGAAGGAAAACACAGGUUUAAAGAGUUUAUAUUACCAUCAUAGGGUAGCUACUUAGAUCAGCAUUGGGGCUGAAUGAACACCUGCUUUUGAUAUUUACAGUGAAUUAAAACAGGACCCCUGGAUCCAUUCAUCCAAUUGUUCUUCCUUCUCUCCAAAUUAAGACCAUCACACUGUCCUGGCCCUUAGAAAUCAUUAGGCUGUUGAUAAAAAUGGGUCACGACGUCUGGAUUUGGGGCAGUUUGAGCAGGAGAGAGAGAGAGAGAUCAGAACAGGAAAAGUUACUGUGAACAAAAGGACACAUCACGAGAUCGUCCCUGGUUUUGUCAUUGGGCAAUGCUUCCCUAUCAAAAUUUCAACACAACAUGUGUCUUCAUUUUUCCCCCCACGCAGGCAUUUCUCACUUCUCAAAUUGCCAGGAAACAGACUCUGGAAGUUUGAAAGAAUAAGAGGAGAGAGUAAAAAUAUACGUGCUGGGUGGAGGGAGUGGAGAAUGCAUUUCCAAAUCUAAAAAUACAUUUUAAAAGCUGAACACCAGCCAGAGGAAGGGAUUUUGUUUUUGAUCUUGGAUGCACUGCCAAAUACGCCCCCCUUGGGGACACAGGAUAGAAAUAGAAACUCUAAGUCGUUCAUAUCAUGUGGAAGUUACAACUUUAGAUCUGUAAGAAAACACAAAGGACAGGAAACCCAGCCUGAUGCUUCCAUUCACAAAUCUGGUUUCAUCUCCACAGCAGCCCUAAUCUUCAUCUUUUGAAACAGACCUGAAUUAGGUGAGCCUUCCAAUUUUUAAUGGCAUGUCUGAUUACUUCCCCCAAAGUGUAAGAGGCAUGGCACAGGAGACUUUGAAGCACACAGGGCACAGAGGGCAUGGUAUUUUAAUCAUCUGCCAGUAUCUGACAGUAAAAUCCUGAGUGUUAUAAUUUUUCAGAUUGUUUUCAUAUGGGUGGAUCUGAGACCAAAGUGACUUUGCCAUUUAGUGACUCCUAAUCAGGUUCAAAAUGUGAAAAAAAGAAAUCAUAUAACAUUGCAGAAUCCUAAGCAGAUGAUGGGGAAAGGAGAGGGAGAAGGAAAAUACUUGCAUUUGUCUCAGGAAACAGGUUGUUUUUUGAAAAAGAUCUAUUUUUUGACAUCAAAGGAUGGGUGGCGGCUAACACAAAUUUUUCCCACAUGAAUACUGACUUUGCUAGAAAACAAGGCAUGGAAGUUUAAAAAUACAUAUUCAGAAAGGUCAGGGCCAGAACCCUUUAAUAAAGGGGUAACCAAGGUCUGCUCUCAGAAAUCUUCACCACGGAACUCUGGUUGGGGUGAGGUAGCUGGAGGGAAUGGAACAGCUUUUUGAUUCUGAAAAACUCUUCUGUUCAAAAGGGGUCUGAGACUCUCAGAAUUAUAUUAUUAUAUCAUAAGGGAGCCUGGGUAUUUCUUUUGCCUGGACAUAGUGUGUGGCCAAGCUCUUUCUCACUGUCCUUAGGUGAGUUGGAGGUGUGGAGCUGGGAACCUGACUCCCAGCGUUGGCAUUCAGAAGGGACUGCCCCUCUCUAAUAGCCCUCGAGUUCCUGGGGACAUAUCACUACACACAACUGGAGGCAUUCUUCAGCUUGGACCUCCGUCUUCCUGCUUCUUGAACUCUAGUUUGUCCUUUUUCUCAUGCCUACCCCCAUGAUGACUCUCUAGGCUGGGGUUUCCCUCUCAUAGCAGGUUUUAAAUGCAUUCCAAUGCUCCUUGCUGGGACAACAGGCUCUGACUUGCCCCAUCUUUUUACAACUGGAUUCUUCAGCUUUUCAGAGACUCGAUUGUGGACCAGGCCCUGCGGCAUACAUUACCCCCACACCCUGUCUGUCACUAACUCUUAGUGUCCACUGUUCCUAUUUAGACAGGUUCUCAGCUUAAGCAGCUGUCAAAAGACCACAGAAGAUGUAUUUCUAGUAUGGCCCCAUCCAGUAGAAACAUGAAUCCAGUCACGUAGGUAGCCUUAAAAUUUCUGGAAGUCACAUUAAAAAAAAGCAAAGAGAAAUGAGCAAAAUCAGUUUUAGUAAAAGAUGUGGAUAACAUCUAUUCCAUGAUAUUCCAAAUUUUGUACUUCAAAAAUUAAUCAAAAAAAUGUAAAAGAGGAAUUUUACAUUCUUUUAUUUUUUAUAUUUGUCUUCAAAAAAUUGUGUGUGUCUUUUAUACUUAUAGGAUAUUUCAUUCACCCUGCAGUCUCAAAUGCCAAUAGCCCCAGUGCCUAGUGGAUACCAUUGGAUAGUGUAGUUCUACCAUACUAACUAGGAAUGAUUUUAAAACUUUUUUAAAAUCCUGUAUUUGUAUAUAAAAUAAAAUCACCUCCAUCGGUUAAAUCUACAAAAGAACAUACAUAUGCAUACUAUCAAACAUAAGUACUUAACUAGUAGCUAAAGAUAAUAAUAACCAUCUUGCUUUGUGCUAUUUUGGAUCUUAAAUGGCCCCAAAGGCCCAUGUCCAUGGUAAAGGUUUGAUUCCCAGAGUGGUGCUAUUGGAAGGUGAUAGAGCCUUUAAGAGAUGGAGCCUAAAAGGAGGUCUUUAGGUCAUUGGGAGUACAUCCUUUGGACACUAGUCCCUUCCUUUCUCCUUUCUCUAUUGCUUCAUGGCUAUAAAGUGAGUGGUUUUGCUCUGCCACAAGUUCCCCUCCAAUUUGGCAUCCCCAUCAAAGUCCUUGAAGCAAUGGAUCUGCCUGAUCAUGGAUGGAACCUCUAAAACCAUGAGCCAAAAUAAACCUUUUCUCUUUAUCACUGAUAUUUGUUAUAGUAAAGA
rnacentral:lncRNA from 1 species